rnacentral:rRNA from 1 species
AUGAGGGUUUACGGCAUGUUGAGGCCUGAUGUGAAGGAGCAGGUGGCAAGUCUUAAGAGGCAGAAACGAACGGCGAGUGGGUCACAGUUUCAAACUGUACUCAAUGAGCAGCCACCUACUGUCAUUCUAUCAGAUGUGGAUGAAGUUAUGCUAGCGCUUCCAACAAACAGUUUCGCAAGUAGCGUGGCAGGGCGUAUUAUGCCAGAAAGAUUUGGGGCAAGCGGAGGUGGAAACAAUGGCUCCAACUUUAGUGGCAUGUCCAAAAGUAGACUUUCUGGGAUAGAAAGUGUAGAGGAAUUGAAGAACAUAGUGCACCAGGCAGAAGUUUGGCUCCAGAAUGCUAUUGCCAGUAUGGAGCUAAAUUGCAAGCUAGCUGAUGACAAUUUCCUACAAGAAGUUAAACGGCGGACUUCAAUAUUUGAUGGGUCAAUAAACACGAUGGUCGCAAAACCAUAG